rnacentral:rRNA from 1 species
GACGAACGCUGGCGGCGUGCUUAACACAUGCAAGUCGUACGGUAAGGCCCUUUCGGGGGUACACGAGUGGCGAACGGGUGAGUAACACGUGAGUAACCUGCCCACAACUUUGGGAUAACGCUAGGAAACUGGUGCUAAUACUGGAUAUGUGCUCCUGCUGCAUGGUGGGGGUUGGAAAGCUCCGGCGGUUGUGGAUGGACUCGCGGCCUAUCAGCUUGUUGGUGGGGUAGUGGCCUACCAAGGCGGCGACGGGUAGCCGGCCUGAGAGGGUGACCGGCCACAUUGGGCCUGAGAUACGGCCAAGACUCCUACGGGAGGCAGCAGUGGGGAAUAUUGCACAAUGGGCGCAAGCCUGAUGCAGCAACGCCGCGGGCGGGUUGACGGCCUUCGGGUUGUAAACCGCUUUCAGCAGGGACGAAGCUUUUUGUGACGGUACCUGCAGAAGAAGCACCGGCUAACUACGUC